GGAUAUAGCUCAGUUGGUAGAGUGCUUGCCUUGCAUGCACAAAGUCCCUGGGUUUGAUCCCCAGCACCA
rnacentral:tRNA from 1 species